rnacentral:lncRNA from 1 species
UCUCCCGAUUGAUAUCAAACCAGAUAACCUUCCACCGGAGGGCACUUCCUCAAGUCCUAACGCAUAUAAGCCCCGGAAGCUUCUAAGGAAACCAUCAUUUCACGAAUUGUUUCAAGACACUACUUCUCUCUUCACCCCAAUAAAAAUGGCAUUCGCAGCUGUGAUCGUGGGAGCUUUGGCCGCUCUGAACCUGGUCGCCGCCUACCCUUACCCUCACGCCAGGCUCUCCUGCCCGAAGCCACCCCUACCAGAGAUCGAGCCCCAGGUCAUCAAGUCCUACGCCCCCGUUCCAGCGACGUUCGGACCCCAGGCACCGGCCGUGAUCGAACACGUCUCGGCUCCCUUCGAGAUCAACUACUUCGGGAAACCCUACAUCAUCAAGCACAAGCAGAUUGCCGUCCUCAACCUGGCCGCCGCCAUGCCGUACCCGUCCAAGCUCUCCUGCCCGAAGCCACCCCUCCCGGAGAUCAAGCCCCAGGUCAUCCAGGUCGUCGCCCCCGCUCCGGUCAACAUCGGACCCCAGGCCCCAGGAGUGAUCGAGCACGCCUCCGCCCCGUACGAGAUCAACUACUUCGGCAAGCCCUACAUCGUCAAGCACAAGCAGUCUGCCGUCCUCAACGUUCUCACCCAGACCCCGGUCGUUGUCGACGAAUACGCCGCCCCUGUUGUCAACGAGGCUGCCGCUCCCCCCGCCGUCAUCGUCGAGGAAGUCUGCCCUGAGGUCCCCGCCCCCGCACCAGUUCCAGCUCCCGUCUACGCCCCUGCCUAUGAGUAUGCUGCCCCUUGCCAUUAGGACGGAUCCCUCCGACUGCUUUGUCGACGCCACUUCAGGUUGUGAACAAAGGGAGAUUGCAAUAAACGUUCCUAUUCCAAUGUGAUUCUUAUGUGGUUUUGCUUUUUUAUCUACACUAUUUCUAUCCUAUUUCUUUGAAAUUUUUAUUUACAAAGUGACUACGACGAAGAAUUACUAUUUCUCGCUUGUUUUAGAAACAACCUAUGUGCCAUUGAUAUUCCAAUACUGAAAAAAGUUUUUAUGGCCAAG